rnacentral:rRNA from 1 species
AUUGAACGCUGGCGGCAGGCCUAACACAUGCAAGUCGAACGAGUGGCGGACGGGUGAGUAAUGUCUGGGAAACUGCCUGAUGGAGGGGGAUAACUACUGGAAACGGUAGCUAAUACCGCAUACCAUCAGAUGUGCCCAGAUGGGAUUAGCUAGUUGGUGGGGUAACGGCUCACCAAGGCGACGAUCCCUAGCUGGUCUGAGAGGAUGACCAGCCAGACUGGAACUGAGAAACGGUCCAGAGUCCGACGGGAGGCAGCAGUGGGGAAUAUUGCACAAUGGGCGAAAGCCUGAUGCAGCCAUGCCGCGUGUGUGAAGAAGGUCUUCGGAUUGUAAAGCACUUGUAGUUGGGAGGCGUUACCUGCAGAAUAAGCACCGGCUAACUUCGUGCCAGCAGCCGCGGUAAUAC